rnacentral:rRNA from 1 species
UACGGAGGGUGCAAACGUUGCUCGGAAUCACUGGGCUUAAAGCGUGUGUAGGCGGAUCGUUAAGUGUCUUGUGAAAUCCCACGGCUCACCCGUGGAACGGCUGGGCAUACUGGCGAUCUUGGGCCAACUAGGGGCAACUGGAACAAGCGGUGGAGCGGUGAAAUGCGUAGAUAUCGCUUGGAACGCCAAAGGUGAAAACAGGUUGCUGGGGUUGUGCCGACGCUGAGACACGAAAGCCAGGGGAGCAAACGGG